rnacentral:lncRNA from 1 species
CAAAAUAUGCAAAGUCUGAAAUCCAUUUCAGCCCACAUUCAGAUUUGGAUCCAAAGCCAAUAAAAACAUAUGAAUAAAAUCCCUCAACCCAAUCCCACAAAGUCCACAAACAAAGAUCCACAACCCAAACCCACAAAGUCCACAAAUAAAAAAACCCAAAAAAACACCAAACCCACAAAGUCCACAAAUAAAAAACCCAAAAACCCAAAAUCCACAAAGUCCACAAAUAAAGAUCAAAAACCCAAAGUCCACAAAGUCUACGAAUAAAGAUCCAAAACCCAAAGUUCACAAAUAAAAAUCCAAAAUCCAAAGUCUACAAAUAAAACCCAACCAAAUCUAUCAAAUCUAUGUCACCCAAAUACCUCCAACCCAAACCAAAUUCAUGGGCUUCCCAAAUGGGCCCCUCACUAUGAAUUAAUUCUAUGAAUUAAUUUUUUGGGCUUUCCAAAUGUAUUCCCUAUCACGAAUUAAUUCUAUGAAUUAGUUUCAUGGAUCCUCUUUGUCAUAAAUUAAUAUCAUGAACCAAUGGGCUCUCCAAAUGGCCCCUAUCAUGAAUUAAUUUCAUCAAAUAACUUGGUGGACUUUACAAAUGGGUUCCUAGCAUUAUUUAAUUUCAUGAAUCAGUUUCAUGAAUACCUCGAUUUCAAUCGACCGAAAAGUCGUUAAACUAAACCCAAAUUUCAAACGACCGAAAAGUCGUUAAACUAAACCCAAAUUUCUUGAAUCAUGAACUAAAUCCAUACACCAAACC